rnacentral:sRNA from 1 species
UGACUAUAAUUCUUUUCGCUUGGCGAUAA